rnacentral:rRNA from 1 species
GACGAACGCUGGCGGCGUGCUUAACACAUGCAAGUCGAACGGAAAGGCCCUGCUUUUGUGGGGUGCUCGAGUGGCGAACGGGUGAGUAACACGUGAGUAACCUGCCCUUGACUUUGGGAUAACUUCAGGAAACUGGGGCUAAUACCGGAUAGGAGCUCCUGCUGCAUGGUGGGGGUUGGAAAGUUUCGGCGGUUGGGGAUGGACUCGCGGCUUAUCAGCUUGUUGGUGGGGUAGUGGCUUACCAAGGCUUUGACGGGUAGCCGGCCUGGGAGGGUGACCGGCCACAUUGGGACUGAGAUACGGCCCAGACUCCUACGGUAGGCAGCAGUGGGGAAUAUUGCACAAUGGGCGGAAGCCUGAUGCAGCAACGCCGCGUGCGUGAUGACGGCCUUCGGGUUGUAAACCGCUUUCGCCUGUGACGAAGCGUGAGUGACGGUAAUGGGUAAAGAAGCACCGGCUAACUACGUG